UGCCAGCCGCCGCGGUAAUACGGAGGGAGCUAGCGUUGUUCGGAAUUACUGGGCGUAAAGCGUGCGUAGGCGGAUCGACAAGUUGGGGGUGAAAUCCCGGGGCUUAACCCCGGAACUGCCCUCAAAACUGUCGAUCUAGAGACCGGGAGAGGUAAGCGGAAUUCCUAGUGUAGAGGUGAAAUUCGUAGAUAUUAGGAAGAACACCAGUGGCGAAGGCGGCUUACUGGACCGGUACUGACGCUGAGGUACGAAAGCGUGGGGAGCGAACAGGAUUAGAUA
rnacentral:rRNA from 1 species